CAGCCGCGCUGGAGCCUGCGGGGGGCCCGGGGCCGCUGCGUGCGAAGGGGACGGCGCCCUUGCGUGGCUGGGAUGCGACGGUCAGACUCCAGGGCCAGGCUGUUUCACACCGCCCGGGCGGGAGCAGGGAAGCCACCACCAGCGCUGUCUCACCUUUUCUGAGGCUGGAUUUAUCAUAGAAUUAGGUUGGAAAAUAUUUUCGGGAUCGCCGGGACCAACCUAUGACCCAACACUACCAUGUCAACCAGACCAAGGCACCGAGUGCCGCAUCCAGUCUACUCAAACACCUCCAAGGAUGGUGACUCCACCGCAUCCCUGGGCAGCCCAGUCAAGUGUCCAAUCACCCAUUCUCUGAAGAAGUGCUUCCUAAUGACCAGUCUGAAUCCCCCCUGGUGCAUCUUACAACUGUCCUCUUGUCCUGAGCCCUGGGAGAAGAGCCCGACCCCCACCUGGUUCCAGCUUCCUCCCAGGGAGUUGCAGGGAGCGAUAAGGUCACCCCCGAGCCUCCUCCAGGAUAAUUCACUCUGAGCUUUAGGAGCUGUGCUCUUUGGGUUGUUCCAUGUAAUUACUUUGACAGCUGCUGGCUGGUGUCCACCAGGUUUCAUGGAUCACACAGCCCUUGGCAUAUGCCUGGCACUGUGUGAAUAACCAGGUGUGUUUGGGGUCCUCUGCUGGGGCAGCAAACGUGGCUGCUGGCCCGUGUGUGAUGAGGACAGAAUAGCCACCAGCAAAGGUGCACUGAGAUGAGACCAGAUGCUAGUCUAAACUCACUCAUUCCCCAACAAAUCAAAUGGGCAUGUUUCAAUAAUGACAAAACAAAAGUGAAAGUUUGCAAACCACAUUAGUAACCCUACAGUGAGGUUCCUAUUUUAAAACUACUUUCUUUACCAAUACAAGGACAAUUUUCUCCCUGUACCACCCUUAAACUUCACUGUUUUCGUACCAGAUCACACAGUUUUAGUCUGUUGGCUCAAAUCUCAAAUGAAAGCAGCUUAUUUUCUCACUAAUGCCUUUUAAUUUCUCCUUUCAUCUGUUACUACUUCACUAUCCAAGUGCCUGUAGCACAGUAGCAUUGGGAUAGAGGUAACACACCUCACAUUCUGGACUCUGCUGAGCUCUACUCAGGAGCAAGGGGAUCAGGAAGAUGAUGCUGGAUAAAAUCAGUGCCCUCCAGCCUCAACUCUGCCUUCUCCAAGCAAUUUUAAGUGGAUACCUAUGCCAACCCUGGAUAUCAGAGGGGCAUCACCUCACUCCCUAUUCCGGUGAUUCACGUGAGGAAAAAGGAUCUCUUGGAUCUUAGAACGAAGAGUAAAUUGCUGUUGCUGGAGAUUAAUUCCACCCUUUCAGCCUCCAGGCUUUCUUCUUUGUGCUUCAAGCAAAGCUCAGCCAAGCCAAGCGCUCGAGCUCUCUGAGUCGAGCAGUGCCACAGCAAGGGGUACAGGAUUAACUGUGGCUCUGGGGCUGAGGAAGAGGGAGAACUGGCAAAAAGGGAAAAACUGUUUUUAGAGCAGACUCGAGACAGGAAGAGGGGGGGUCAGAAGGUGGGGUUGGCAUGGAGAUGUGGCAGAGGAAGGAAGGAGCAGUGGCCAGAGCGGCCAUAGCAGGCGAGGUCACCUGUUUGGUGAGGUAGUUUUUCUCUGAACAUAAAAGCUCAAGAAAAACUGAUGUCCCGGAGAACCUUUCCUGAGCAUCCUCCUCUCAGCGAAAUCUGGCUGUUGGCAGGAACUGCCAAGGUUGUGCACCAUCAACAGGUCUGGCUAAAGCCUCACAAGGGAUGGAAGAUCUGUGUGUUUGAAUACACAGCUUGGCAUCUGCAAGUCAUUAGCUUGGCCUGUCAGGAAAAAACUGUUCCCAGUCAGGCUUUUGCAGAGCAAAGCAUGGGAACAUCUCAACCCUGACUGACUAUGCACAAGUAAAGCACACAGAAGAUGAUACAUUAAUCUGAAUAAUUUCCAUAGAGUCCUUAUCCUGUAUAAACAGAGUGCACAGUAUUACAAGCUGCUACACAGUUUAACAGCUUAUGAUAGCAUCUACUGUAAUGCAGAGAACUAGUGAUUAUUUAAUUAGAGGCUGUCUAAAGGUUUGUGAUAAGUGCUUACAUGUGUAAUUUCCAUUUUUCUAGUUCUUCCAAAAUGUUUAUCUUUUGACCCUAAAAUUCUCUUAACCUUUUGUAAAUGUUUUAAAGAAAAAAGAUAAGCAUUUUUCAUUUACAUAAACAGGAUUUCAAGUAUUGUAUACAAAUAUAUUAGUUAAGAUUCCUAAGGGAAAAAAAAUCAUAUUAUUCUUUAUUUUCAGGUGAACCUGGGCCCAAGAGGUUAAAUAAAUCACACAAGGUCACUGAGGGAGAUAGUGGCAGAGUCAGAAGUGUGAUUGCAGCUCCAACCCUCCCAGCUCUCCUGGUGAACUUAAAUCGUAUCUGUUAUUCAAGAAUUUGCAUGGCUAACAAGCCACUUAACACUUGACAUUGCGUCUUUUUCUUGUCCCACUGACUCCCGUAAGACACGGAAGCAGUAAAACAUUGUCAGAGGGGCAGCGUGCAGUGAAUGCGUUAGUGAAAGCUGCAGCCAGAGAUAAAACAGAUCCAUAGGAGGAAAAUCCAGACAGUGCAAAGGGAUGCCAAAGUGCAGGAAUGAGGUGUUUCAGAAUGAGGAGGAGAGAUGAGGAGACAAAGAGGUGUGGACAGUGUCAGAGGUUGAAGAGAUGGGAAGGACAGGUGACAGAGGAGUGCCCACGGUGCCAGACCGCUCAGAAAUGCCAGCGAGGUGCUGCUGCAUGAGCAAAACAGAGAAGCCAUGCACUUGCUGAAUGUGUCAUCAGCCAGCUGAAAGCAAAGCCCAACAGCAAAUGCUCAGAGAUGAGUUAGGACAGGAUUUACCUCACCGAAGUUCAGUGAGCUGGAAAUUGCCCUCUGUGAAGAAGCUCUUUGUUGCUAUUUCUCCUCAGUCACUUCAGGGAGCAGACGUGUCCAGCUGCAUUUAUACGCCUCGGCUUUGGAUGACUAAAGGUGGAAGGCACGAUGGACCCCAGAGUCUGAAGGGAAUUGCAUGGAACCAGGCAGCACUGUGCAGCAUCUCUGCACUUCUGCAGCACCUCUCCUGUGGCCCCAUUCACCUCCCACUGGAUCAGGGAAGAACUGCCUUAAAGGAUGUUUGUCUUUCUGUGUAAAGGGAAAAGAAAGAGCCUCUCACCCAUAUUGCCCCUGGGGAGGACUGUGCACCCACUGCAGGUGAUACCAACCCAGAGCUGUCUUGGUAAGCAAAGCCUACACCCUUGGAGAGGUCUCAGUGCAUUUGGGGAUGCAGUAGGAAAUACUGGAUGUGCUCAUGCUGUUCAAUGCUUGUGGGGUGGGGUACAGUAAUAAGCAUCCCCUCACCAUCAACCUGGAGGCUCCAGGAUCAGAGAUCCAUUACUGUACUGCACAUUUUCCUAGGAAAUGUUCUCUGAAGAGUUUGCUCAGCUUGGAGAAAGACAGCUUCCCACGCCAGAACUUUUGGGAAGUGGGAAGCGGGAAGCUUUUCCCCCAGCCUGUAUGCCCAGAAGGAACUCAGGCUGGAUACCAGGUGUCUGUUACAAAUAUUGGGCACCAAAUUAAACACCCACACAUCCUGAAAGAACCAGCAACACGACAUGAAGAAUUAUUCAUUUUGCCAGCAGUAAAAUGACAAAGCAGAGGAGUGACGAAUGCUCUAGAUGAACCCAGAGCUCCAAUUUAAUGCAUGGGAUAAGGACCUCUUUUUCCAAAUAAAGACUCCCAACUCUUGCAGUUUC